rnacentral:rRNA from 1 species
GGCUCAGGAUGAACGCUAGCUACAGGCUUAACACAUGCAAGUCGAGGGGCAUCAGGAAGAAAGCUUGCUUUCUUUGCUGGCGACCGGCGCACGGGUGAGUAACACGUAUCCAACCUGCCCUUUACUCGGGGAUAGCCUUUCGAAAGAAAGAUUAAUACCCGAUGGCAUAAUGAUUCCGCAUGGUUUCAUUAUUAAAGGAUUCCGGUAAAGGAUGGGGAUGCGUUCCAUUAGGUUGUUGGUGAGGUAACGGCCCACCAAGCCUUCGAUGGAUAGGGGUUCUGAGAGGAAGGUCCCCCACAUUGGAACUGAGACACGGUCCAAACUCCUACGGGAGGCAGCAGUGAGGAAUAUUGGUCAAUGGGCGCUAGCCUGAACCAGCCAAGUAGCGUGAAGGAUGAAGGCUCUAUGGGUCGUAAACUUCUUUUAUAUAAGAAUAAAGUGCAGUAUGUAUACUGUUUUGUAUGUAUUAUAUGAAUAAGGAUCGGCUAACUCCGUGCCAGCAGCCGCGGUAAUACGGAGGAUCCGAGCGUUAUCCGGAUUUAUUGGGUUUAAAGGGAGCGUAGGUGGACUGGUAAGUCAGUUGUGAAAGUUUGCGGCUCAACCGUAAAAUUGCAGUUGAUACUGUCAGUCUUGAGUACAGUAGAGGUGGGCGGAAUUCGUGGUGUAGCGGUGAAAUGCUUAGAUAUCACGAAGAACUCCGAUUGCGAAGGCAGCUCACUGGACUGCAACUGACACUGAUGCUCGAAAGUGUGGGUAUCAAACAGGAUUAGAUACCCUGGUAGUCCACACAGUAAACGAUGAAUACUCGCUGUUUGCGAUAUACAGUAAGCGGCCAAGCGAAAGCAUUAAGUAUUCCACCUGGGGAGUACGCCGGCAACGGUGAAACUCAAAGGAAUUGACGGGGGCCCGCACAAGCGGAGGAACAUGUGGUUUAAUUCGAUGAUACGCGAGGAACCUUACCCGGGCUUAAAUUGCAGUGGAAUGAUGUGGAAACAUGUCAGUGAGCAAUCACCGCUGUGAAGGUGCUGCAUGGUUGUCGUCAGCUCGUGCCGUGAGGUGUCGGCUUAAGUGCCAUAACGAGCGCAACCCUUAUCUUUAGUUACUAACAGGUUAUGCUGAGGACUCUGGAGAGACUGCCGUCGUAAGAUGUGAGGAAGGUGGGGAUGACGUCAAAUCAGCACGGCCCUUACGUCCGGGGCUACACACGUGUUACAAUGGGGGGUACAGAAGGCAGCUACCUGGUGACAGGAUGCUAAUCCCAAAAGCCUCUCUCAGUUCGGAUCGAAGUCUGCAACCCGACUUCGUGAAGCUGGAUUCGCUAGUAAUCGCGCAUCAGCCACGGCGCGGUGAAUACGUUCCCGGGCCUUGUACACACCGCCCGUCAAGCCAUGGGAGCCGGGGGUACCUGAAGUACGUAACCGCAAGGAUCGUCCUAGGGUAAAACUGG